UUAUCUCUAAUCAACCCACAUAUCUGUAUUUUAUCGUAGUCUCCAUUGUCCUGUCCUUGAAGUGUCAUGAGUGUAGUGGAAUUGGUGACUGUCUACGACCCCAAGUUUGCAACAACUUAACACGUUAUUGCCUAAACAAGUGGCCUUUUACCCCUGAUGGGAAGACUUGGGUCAUCAAAUCUUGUGCUUACACCUGUCCACCUGCUCUAGAAGAAUAUGGUAACGCUCCAGCUAUGUGUUGUCGGACAGAUCUCUGUAACAGCGCAUUGACCAGCAGCCUUAAUGGACUUCUUCUCAUCACUUGCCUGUGGGCUGGGGUAUCUUGGGUCAUGUCUUGGGUCCUAUCUUGAACUGGUCUGUAGCAGGCUGUUUCCACCUUUGGAUAAAGCAAGAUCCACUCUUUACCCUUUAGGGCAGCAGGUUGAGGAAACAAUGAGGUAUAGUAGACCAGCAACCCAGGAAGAGAUGCAGUUCCAACAACAAUGAUAGAUUUUUAAAAAUUUUUAUUUUUUUACAAAGAGAUAUUUUCUUCAAAGAUAGAACAAGAACAGAAGUCUACACAUUUAUCUCCAACACUUGAGAACACACUCUAUACCACCCUGGUACUCAGAGAGAGUAAACUUAGAUUCAACACAGUUUCUAUAUAAUGUUGGUCCAGUAAAGUUCAUGCUCCUGGAUGGGUUCAAGAUCCUGCUGAGCUUGGUUAUUCCUUGGUCCUCCAUGCUGGAUUGGCUGGUUGCAAAACUCUGCAUGGACUCUACCUCUAGAUCUGUUGACUUGUUCUGAACUUUCUUACAAAGCUCACAAUAUGAUAUCCAUAUUUAAUUUCCUUCCCUAAAAGUAGGAAAGAAUGAGCACAAAAGAGGCGGAAAUGACUUUGGAGCUCUAUGCUGCCAUUAUCAUCAUGACAGAGCUGGUUGAAGGCUUUUCCUUUCCUGGGAAGCCCUCAGCAGCUUGUCCUCCUUUUGCAUUGCUAAUGGGCCUGCAAGUGUGACAGCAGUCAAAAUUAUGAAGCACAAGCCAAGAAGUUGUUGGAUGAUUGGAGAACAGUCAGUACGUCUGGAAAGAGCCCCCACCAAGAGCUGUUCUUUCCUAAGAAGACCAAAUGGCAAUUUCAAUGCAUGGAUUACAAGCUAAUAAACUUGAGGGAAGAAUUGCAUGUCUCCCAAUCAAGAUAACAGUGUUACUUUUUUAAUGCUCUUUGUGAGAAUCAAAUGUAUUAUUUUGAAAUUUGUACUUCUGUUUCUUGUAAAAACAACUCUUCUAUGGGGGAUUAUAAAAUUUUAGAGUUGCAAGAGGCCUUAGAGAACCAUAAUAGUCAACAAAUUUACAUUGUGUUAAAAGGUUUACAAUGUAUUAUAUUAAGAGAUGGCCUUGAAGGAAGAAGUCCUGGGGUCCCAUUCUGACUUUGAUACACACUUGCUGUGUGGCCCUAGACAUGUUACUUUCACUGCUCUUGGGAUCUCCCUAAGAUUCUAAAUUGUAGCAAAGGCUCUAUUCUUGCAUUGGUAGAGUCAAGAAAUUCCAGAUUCUAAUGAAAUUACAGACAAUAGCCCUUAUCUCCUUCCUAAAAUGCUGGUGGGCUGGAGAGGAGCCUGGAGAUUAUGUAGUACAGACAAUCUUUGGUCACUCCUAUUGUCUCUAGGAUCAAAUGCCAGUUCUUCUGUUUGGCAUUUAAAGUCCUUCAUAAUCUGGCUCAUCUCUAUGUCCAUGCUGAGUAUACAUCACUCUACUUUGUGUACAUGAUCUAGCCAAAGUGUCCUAUUCUAUAUCUCUAAGCAUGGCAUUAUUUCCCCAAUCUCCCUGUAUUUGUACUCCAUGCCUGGAAUGCCCUCUCUUACUUCUGGGUCUUGGAACCCAAGCUCCUUUCAAGCGUCACCUCAAGUACUCCCUCCUUCUAGAGCCUUUCCCUAACUCAUCUAGUGGUUUAUGCUGCCUUUCCCAUCACUACAUUAUGCAUUUAUUUAUCUUUGAUCACAUUGUAUUUUUCCCUAAAGAAGAAUAUCAGCUCCUUGAAGGCAGACAAGAACUGAUGGCUGCUUCUGUGUGUUCCUGUGUUUAAUAACGUGCCUGGCAAAUCAUUGGUACUAAAUAAAUACUUUUUAAUGGAUUAA